rnacentral:sRNA from 1 species
AAAUACUAACAACAUGGACUGAUUAUCUGAGCGUGAGCACACACUACUGCUGUUUUUAUUGGCUAUUUCUCUUCUCUGGUUUUCAGGUCUAUGAAACUAUUGGACACAGUAGUCCCACCUUGCUAGCAGAAGUGUUUCUGCCUAUUCCUGAGACUACUGUUGUCACUGGAAGGGCUCCUACUGAAGAAGUGGAGUUUAGCAGUAAUCAGCAUGUGACACUGGACCACGAGGGAGUUGGAAGUGGAGUGCCCUUCUCAUUUGAAGCUGAUGGCAGUAACCAGCUGACUCUGAUGACCUCAGGGAAAGUGUCUCAUAGUGUGGCAUGGGCCAUUGGAGAAAAUGGGAUACCUUUAAUUCCUCCAUUGUCACAGCAGAACAUCGGAUUUCGGAGUGCUUUGAAGAAAGCAGAUGCCAUCUCAUCUAUUGGCACAUCAGGACUGACAGACAUGAAAAAAUUGGCCAAGUGGGCAGCAGAGUCCAAGCUCGACCCAAAUGACCCCAACAAUGCCCCUCUGAUGCAGCUUAUCUCGGUUGCUACCAGUGGUGAAUCCUAUGUCCCUGAUUUCUUUAGACUGGAGCAGCUGCAACAGGAGUUUAACU